rnacentral:rRNA from 1 species
ACGGCUCAGUAACACGUGCCCAACCUACCCUCGGGAGGGGGACACCCCCGGGAAACUGGGGCCAAUCCCCCAUAGGGGCGGGGCGCUGGAAGGCCCCCUCCCCGAAAGGACGGCGGCCGAUCCGCCGCCGCCCGCCCGAGGAUGGGGGCACGGCCCAUCAGGUAGUUGGCGGGUUAAAGGCCCGCCAAGCCGAAGACGGGUAGGGGCGGUGAGAGCCGCGAGCCCCGAGAUCGGCACUGAGACAAGGGCCGAGGCCCUACGGGGUGCAGCAGGCGCGAAUACUCCGCAAUGCGGGCAACCGCGACGGGGCUACCCCGAGUGCCGGGCGAAGAGCCCGGCUUUUGCCCGGUCUAAAAAGCCGGGGGAAUAAGCGGGGGGCAAGUCUGGUGUCAGCCGCCGCGGUAAUACCAGCUCCGCGAGUGGUCGGGGUGUUUACUGGGCUUAAAGCGCCCGUAGCCGGCCCGGCAAGUCGCUCCUGAAAUCCCAGGGCUCACCCUGGGGCGGGGGGCGAUACUGCCGGGCUAGGGGGCGGAAGAGGCCGCCGGUACUCCGGGGGUAGGGGCGAAAUCCGUUAAUCCCCGGAGGACCACCAGUGGCGAAAGCGGGCGGCCAGAACGCGCCCGACGGUGAGGGGCGAAAGCCGG